GGAAGCCGUAACUGGGGAAGAAGUUUCUGGGCCCAGAAGAAAAUGUAGGUAGUCUUAGGGUUAGGUAGCAGCUGUCGGGAACUUGCCCCUGCCCAUAAGAUCCUAAAGGGCCUCCAUUUGAUUCUCACCAGACAGUUAGAACUUGUUUCCUCCUCCGUGUCAGCCAUCAAGAGGUGCUUGGGGGGCUGUGCCCAGCAGGACCUCACUGCCCAGCAGAACAGCAGGGGAGUACUCGACUGUUUGCCUGCCUGUCUGCCCUCCUCUUCACCUCAUUCUCAUCACUGAUGUCUACCAUUGGCUUGGAAAUCAGAAACCCAUAUCCAUCUAGAUGAUUGAUUUUGAUGAUGUGGCUGCAAUAAACCCAGAACUCUUACAGCUUCUUCCCUUACAUCCGAAGGACAAUCUGCCCCUGCAGGAAAAUGUAACAAUCCAGAAACAAAAACGGAGAUCCGUCAACUCCAAAAUUCCUGCUCCAAAAGAAAGAAUAUGGGAAGUUGGUGAGCCCCUUUCCUGGUGGCUGGGACCUAUUUCACCUUGUACAGAAACUUGGAGGUUUGCCCCUGACCACCCUCGAUCGUGCAGCACUGACUGGCUACUGCUCUCGGUUCUCCAGGUCUUCGAAGCCGCUCCACUCGCAUGUCCACUGUCUCAGAGCUUCGCGUCACCGCUCAGGAGAAUGACAUGGAGGUGGAGCUGCCUGCAGCUGCAAACACCCGCAAGCAGUUUUCAGUUCCUCCUGCCCCCACUAGGCCUUCCUG
rnacentral:sRNA from 1 species